UGCAGAAGCUGGGGAAAGGACGCACUGGGGGCCCCAGGAUAGAGCCUCCCAACUUAUGCCGGGUUGUUGCUAGUGCUGCUGCUGGGGGACACCGGGACAAGACCCUCUGUUCUCUUCCCUCCCCUUUUCCGCGGGAUCUAGCUUUCCCCCCCGGAGCUUGUGCUGCAGCGACCGCGAGUGUGAAGAAGUCUGCAGACAGGGCGUUAAGGCUGAGCGCCCCUCCUCCUCGGGAGCCGGUGCACAGGGGCUCGCAUCCUGGAAGUUUUUCCUCCGCCGCUAACUUUGUCUCUGGCUGAGAGAGUCCAGGCAGGUGUGUGAACGCUGCUGACCAACCGGGCUUUCUGAAAAGACACAACUGACCACCAAGAGGAGGAUUUAGGUGGAUUACCUCCAGAACUUGGAGAGCUAUGGUGUGCAGCUUCACACGUGAAACCACCAUUUAAACUUCAAAGACUGAGAUUUCAAGGAAAAUUCAAACCUUUUCCAGCUACCACAUCAAAGAAGAAUAUCAAGUUUUCAGAGAGAAUUUUCACUUGAAGAAAACAAACAACCUGUCAACAAUAGAAGGGAUAUCGAUGCUGAUUUCAUAACUGUACUUCCCAAAGUUGCAGAUUUAAGAAAACUCUUUGAGCCAAAGAAAAACGAAGUUUUAGAAAUGAAAAG